GGUAGCGUGUCCGAGCGGCCAAAGGAGCACGCCUCGAAAGCGUGUGUGGGUGAUGAGCCCACCGUGGGUUCGAAUCCCACCGCUACCG
rnacentral:tRNA from 2 species